rnacentral:rRNA from 1 species
CCUACGGGGGGCAGCAGUGGGGAAUAUUGGACAAUGGGCGCAAGCCUGAUCCAGCCAUGCCGCGUGAGUGAUGAAGGUCUUAGGAUUGUAAAGCUCUUUCACCGGAGAAGAUAAUGACGGUAUCCGGAGAAGAAGCCCCGGCUAACUUCGUGCCAGCAGCCGCGGUAAUACGAAGGGGGCUAGCGUUGUUCGGAAUUACUGGGCGUAAAGCGCACGUAGGCGGAUAUUUAAGUCAGGGGUGAAAUCCCAGAGCUCAACUCUGGAACUGCCUCUGAUACUGGGUAUCUUGAGUAUGGAAGAGGUGAGUGGAAUUGCGAGUGUAGAGGUGAAAUUCGUAGAUAUUCGCAGGAACACCAGUGGCGAAGGCGGCUCACUGGUCCAUAACUGACGCUGAGGUGCGAAAGCGUGGGGAGCAAACAGGAUUAGAUACCCCUGUAGU